rnacentral:rRNA from 1 species
AGAGUUUGAUCCUGGCUCAGGAUGAACGCUGGCGGCGUGCUUUAUGCAUGCAAGUCGAACGAGAAGGGGCGGACUUCGGUCCGGCCUGGAGAGUGGCGAACGGGUGAGUAACACGUGAGUGACCUGCCCCGAGGUGGGGGACAACCGUGGGAAACCACGGCUAAUACCCCGUAGUCCUGUGCGUAUUGGUCGCGUACAGGUAUAGCUCCGGCGCCUCGGGAGGGGCUCGCGGUCGAUUAGCUAGUUGGUGGGGUAACGGCCUACCAAGGCGACGAUCGAUAGCUGGUCUGAGAGGACGAUCAGCCACACUGGGACUGAGAUACGGCCCAGACUCCUACGGGGGGCAGCAGCAAGGAAUAUUGGACAAUGGGCGCAAGCCUGAUCCAGCAACGCCGCGUGGAGGAAGAAGGCUUCGGUUGUAAACUCCUUUUGUGAGGGAUGAGACAAGGACAGUACCUCACGAAUAAGUCACGGCUAACUAGGUGCCAGCAGUCGCGGUAACACCUAGGUGACAAGCGUUAUCCGGAUUUACUGGGCGUAAAGGGCUCGAAGGCGGCAGUUCAAGUCCGGCGUGAAAUCUCCUGGCUUAACCAGGAGGGGUCGUCGGAUACUGUUCUGCUAGAGGCAGUGAGAGGGGUGCGGAAUUCUCGGUGGAGUGGUGGAAUACGUAGAUAUCGAGAGGAACACCAGUGGCGAAAGCGGCGCCCUGGCACUGACCUGACGUUCAUGAGCGAAAGCGUGGGGAGCGAACGGGAUUAGAUACCCCGGUAGUCCACGCUGUAAACGAUGAGUACUAGGUGUAGGCGACAACCGUGGUCUGUGCCGAAGCUAACGCGAUAAGUACUCCGCCUGGGGACUACGGCCGCAAGGCUAAAACUCAAAGGAAUUGACGGGGACCCGCACAAGCAGCGGAGCGUGUUGUUUAAUUCGAUGUAACGCGAAGAACCUUACCUGGGUUUGACAUGUGCGUAGUAGUGAAGCGAAAGCCGAACGACUCUUCGGGGAGCGUACACAGGUGUUGCAUGGCUGUCGUCAGCUCGUG